GUCGAGAGAAAGGAAAUAAUUCCCAGUUUCUUCUUUUCGGUUCUUCCCCAAUUUCAUCCCACUGCUGCAGAAUCUGAAAUCGAGAAUCUGCAGUGAUUGUUGGAUCUGGGUUUUACUGGGUUCAAUUUACUGAGAUAUAAAUUUGAGGUCGCUGCAGAUGGGUUAGAGGAUUAUAAGUUUAAUUGCAUGAUGCAUAAUCUACAUAGGUACAAUUUUUACAAAAUUGAAGUUAGGGUUUGAAGGAAUCAAGGGUUUACUGCAAUAUGAGUUUGCGCCUAAUUCGGUUGGCUGAAAACCAGAGUUCUCCCCACUCUUCCUCUAUCUAUUUUAUCUUCGAUUUUAUGUUUUAUUUUACUUUUAUCUGUUAGCCAAUAUGUUUACCUGUAAUUUCUCAACUUUUAUAAUCGAGAAGUCGGUUAAGAAGAGGAGUUACAGCUGACGGGUCGGUUGAUUAACAUGGAGAAAAUUUGGUUUCCCUGUUUGAUUGUGUUGAUAAACGAUGUAGGUUGAUUGAUGGCUGAUUUGAGCUUUUUAAUGAUUUAGGAUUCAAUUUGGGUUUAUGUGGUUGAUUGUUGUGCAAGGAAGGAUAUGUGGUGCCUCAAACAUCAGAAGAGGAUACAAUCUCUUCAACUCCAACAGAGUACACAUGCAGUGUUUGCUAAAAUGCCUAAACGAAUGUCAUGAAAGAUAUUGUACAAGAAGGACAUGACUGUGAAGAAGUUACUGGAAGAGAGAAGUUUCCAAAAAUUUUUAUGGGGAAGGAUUCACGAUUGUUUGGAGCAGCAAUAUGCAAAAGACAUUGUUACAGAUGAUACGUAGGAAUUUCAUGGGGCUCUUCAGAUAAAGUAAUGAUGCAGGUCUAAAAGCAAUGGAUCACAUUUGGUGUAGUAAUGUGGUACGUACAAAUAGAGGUCCAUAGAUUUCACAGUAUAUUUAUUAGAGAAAUUAUGCAAGGAACCAGAUGGAAAUCUGAAAUAGGUUGUUAUAAUCUUAUGAGGUCACUCUGAAGUCUUGGAAGUUGAAUGGAUAUCAACCACUGCAUACCAAGGAAAGGUUGCUAGAAGGCAGAAGCUCAAGUAUCUUGCAAUAAGUCCAACUGACAUUGUGGGGGUGGUGGUGGAGGGCCUGAACGAAGAGAUGGGGUUGCUGCCAUCAGGGAAGUCGGCGGUUGGGCUGGUGGUCUUAGGGAGGGUAGCAGUUCGGUGUUAGAUCUGGUGCGGGUCGUGUUGUAGUUGCAGGAAAUCCCACAACACACCCUUAUAAUAUCAUGAUAAUAAUUUCUAGAUCUAAACUUAUUUGAUAUGAAAAUAAAAAUAAUAAUAAUGAAAAUAGAAAAUAAGACACAAGAUUUACGUGGUUCGAUCAAUUUGAUCUACAUCCAUGGGGUUAGGUUUCACUAUGAUCAUUGAAUUACAUAUGAAUUAUAUUGAGACUCCAUUAAUGAGUAUUUGGAGCUCUCUCUCUCUGGUUUUUGGGGAAGAAUAAGAAGAUAAUAAUAAUACUAGUUACUUUUCUCUCA